ACCGUUCAUCACCGAACGGCGUCGUCCGGUCAUAAUUGCCCCAGCUACUCACUCGCCAUCCGCCCACCGCGUCCAUUUAUUUUCUCCAAGCAUCCUCAGUGCUCACCCAUCCCCAUCUGCAAUCUCAUCCUCUCCGCCAUGUCUGCCUCGUCGUCAACCUCUCUCCCUGUCCUAGCGGAUUGUCCCCUCCCUCUCAUGCGUUGCCCAUUCUGCGGGGACUAGGUUGUGACGAACGUAGCGAGAUCCGGUCAGCAGGCAGGGGAUCGGUUCUACAAAUGCGUGUUGUACGAUGCACAGCAGUGUCGUUUCUUCGAGUUCCAGCAACUGUACUGCAGUGAGCAACAUCAUGCUCACUGCGCUCGUUAUGGUGGCUGUACUUGCUAAGUAGGAGUGGGUGAGGCUGAACCUGUACUCACUGUGUGUGAUGGAUCGCGUCGAGACGCCUGUUUAUGCGUCUGUUUAGUUUGAUAGGCAAAUUAAUUUAGGGUGGCUCCCUCUACCGCUAAGCCUGUUUACCCAGCCAGUCCUAAACCCUAAACACCAUGUCGUCCGCAGGACGAACACAGAUCUGAGUCCGGCAGCUGCGGAGCAGACGCGGAUGGAUCUGGCAGUGGGCGACCGGAUGCAGCUCAGUCGGUGCCCGCGCAAGGCCCAGAUGGCUCGACAUCUAGCGCCAGGGAGAGAGAGACACCUCCGCCAACUUCACGCAUAUCGGUCAAGCACGCGGUGAGUGUAAUCAAGACUUUUGAUGACUACAAGAGAUGGCUAGUAGGGCAAAUUGGAUUUGGAGGGAUGCUGAAGCUGCCGGACAUUCAGAAACUAAAUCUGAAGUGCAGCACGUGGAUAAUGAGCAGAGUGAGCGUCAGUCGCAGGGAGAUUAAGCUUAGGGAUAAUAAGGUUAUCAAGUUCUACGCCGAGGAUCUUUACAAGGUGUUUGGGAUCCCAUGUGGCCAUCGUAAUGUGAAAGGCAGAGAUGCGAACAUCAACCCUGAGGCAGUUCAUUUCAUAAAGACGACUUUGCAGAUGAACAAAACAGGCGUCCACAGCUUGCGGGCAGCCGAAGAUUUUCUGUUGCGGGACAUCAAUGAGAAUUCAAGCAAGCUAGAGAAAGAUUGUUUCCAGAUUGCCUUCGUUAUUUUUAUCAUGGGACAUGUGCUAGUGCCUACCACCAAGCAUAACUACACUAAUAUCGAUUUCUGGGGGGCAAUAGCAAACACUGAGUCGAUAGAUCAAUUCAAUUGGUGUGAGUAUGUUCUCCUGCAUCUGCUAGCUGCAGUGAAGGAGGUGAAGAGAGAUAUGAUGGCCAAUAGUUUGUCCACAAAUCUAACUGGUUGCCAUUUGUUC